AUUGGUAUGGAAAGUUUCAAUCUUGCGAUAGUGUUUAUUUAUAGCAGCGCGUGCUCGCGAAUUUGAUAUGGUACUUUAUCCCAUUUCAUUUCCAUAUCGACACCUAUAUACGGGUUUAUUGUGUAUGAAUGCGUAAAGUGCGAAAAUUCGUGCAUCCGCAAUCCGAUUUCAAUAAGUGUGUAUGUGGAUAUAUAGACAGGUGGCUGCUUAUAUACAUCAGGGAUACGUGUCCAUGCGCGCAUAAUUUGCAGUUUAAUGAAAAGCGUGACAUUUUAUUGUAUUUAUUCAGCGAUUAUUUUAUAUGGGCGUUUAUAAGUAAUAAGCUGACAGCAGAAAACAUAGUCUACAUCAGAGUUGGACCCCGAUAUCAAACCUCAAUGGAGGAUUGCCUUCAUCAUCAUCAUGGUUAAACGGUCGCAAGCGCCGUAGCUUUAUUAUUAUAAUACCUAUAUAAUAUCUUAGAUUUAUUGAUGGGAAGUAGGUAGAGGAUAAUGCCGUUGCGAUAAAUAAGAUAACAUUGUGAAUAUUAUGUAUUACACCAACUUUAGCUAUAUCUAUAUUAAGAAAAGGCUUAUCAUAUAACCUUCAUAUCAAUUACAGCUAUUAAGAAAAGUUUCGUAUGGGGCUAAAUCAAUAUUUUUCUUGAAUCAAAGUUUAUGUGCCGAUAAUACCUGUGAUAAGGCAAGCUUCUUAAAUCAAAUUGAUACACUUGGGGGCAGCACCUUCAUAAUACGUGUAAGCAUACGAUUUAAAACAGAUGUGUUAUUAAUUCCUGCAAUCAAAGUGCUAGGAUAUAAAUUUUUAUUACUCUAGUUAGAAUAGUGCUGUUAUAUAAACUCUCACAAAUUUUGUUAAUUUUUCUUGGAUUUAAGUUUAUAUGGUGAUAAUACCCGUGCUAAGGCAGGCUUCUUAAUCCCGAACAGGAUAGAGAUGGACGUUGGGUGGGAGGAGGUGCCUCAAGACUUGUUUACGGGAGAAAGGAAGCUAACUUUAUGUACUGUUAAUAUCUAUGAUACGACACGCUUCUUAAAUCAAAUUGAUACACUUUG